GGAGUUAGCCGGUGCUUCUUCUGUGAGUGAUGUCCUUCCUGCCGGUUAUUGACCCGCAGGCCUUCUUCCUCACUGAAAGUGCUUUACAACCCGAAGGCCUUCUUCACACACGCGGCAUGGCUGGAUCAGGGUUGCCCCCAUUGUCCAAUAUUCCCCACUGCUGCCUCCCGUAGGAGUCUGGGCCGUGUCCCAGUCCCAGUGUGGCUGAUCAUCCUCUCAGACCAGCUACGGAUCGUCGCCUUGGUGAGCCGUUACCUCACCAACCAGCUAAUCCGACAUAGGCUCAUCCGAUAGCGCGAGGCCCGAAGGUCCCCCGCUUUCCCCCGUAGGGCGUAUGCGGUAUUAGCCUGGGUUUCCCCAGGUUAUCCCCCACUACCGGGCAGAUUCCUAUGCAUUACUCACCCGUCCGCCGCUCGCCACCAGGGAGCAAGCUCCCCGUGCUGCCGCUCGACUUGCAUGUGUUAGGCCUGCCGCCAGCGUUCAAUCUGAGCCAGAAUCAAACUCUGA
rnacentral:rRNA from 1 species